UUCAUUCAUUCAUUAAAAAAUAAUUGAACACCUACUCUAUACCAAGCAUUGUGCAAAGUGCUGGCCAUGUAAUAGUUACCAAGAUAAACAAGAUCUCUGGAUGCACAAAAUGGGAGAAUGUAGUAUAUUUUACAUUUCAAGACUUGAAAUUGUAUUGAAUUAAAAGUUGUCAGAAAAGGCUGGGAAAAAAGAAAAUAAGACUUGGGAUCUCCUAUUUAAAUGAUCUGAGAGCAUUUGGAUACUGUUCUUCUUAGAUGAGCAAAUCUUGUUGGUUAUUGAAUUUAGGCCUGACACAAGAAGGAUUUGGACCUACACUAAAGUUUUACACUCCCUGGGAUUCUUCGUGGUGUCAUUCUUCCCUUAGUGUAAUCCUCCCUCCUAUACCUGUCAUGCUAUUUCUGCCAGGAACAUUUCUGU
rnacentral:lncRNA from 10 species